rnacentral:rRNA from 1 species
GACGAACGCUGGCGGCGUGCUUAACACAUGCAAGUCGAACGGAAAGGCCCCUUCGGGGGUACUCGAGUGGCGAACGGGUGAGUAACACGUGAGUAACCUGCCCUUGACUUCGGGAUAACUUCAGGAAACUGGGGCUAAUACCGGAUAGGAAUCCUUGCUGCAUGGUGGGGGUUGGAAAGCUUCGGCGGUUUUGGAUGGACUCGCGGCUUAUCAGCUUGUUGGUGGGGUAGUGGCUUACCAAGGCUUUGACGGGUAGCCGGCCUGAGAGGGCGACCGGCCACAUUGGGACUGAGAUACGGCCCAGACUCCUACGGGAGGCAGCAGUGGGGAAUAUUGCACAAUGGGCGGAAGCCUGAUGCAGAAACGCCGCGUGCGGGAUGACGGCCUUCGGGUUGGAAACCGCUUUCAGCAGGGGCGAAGCUUGUGGUGACGGUACCUGCAGAAGAAGCACCGGCUAACUACGUG